AUACGGGAGGCAGCAGUGGGGAAUAUUGCACAAUGGGCGGAAGCCUGAUGCAGCGACGCCGCGUGAGGGAUGACGGCCUUCGGGUUGUAAACCUCUUUCAGCCUUGACGAAGCGCAAGUGACGGUAGGGGCAGAAGAAGCGCCGGCCAACUACGUGCCAGCAGCCGCGGUAAGACGUAGGGCGCGAGCGUUGUCCGGAUUUAUUGGGCGUAAAGAGCUCGUAGGCGGCUCGUCGCGUCGGCUGUGAAAACCCGCAGCUUAACUGUGGGCUUGCAGCCGAUACGGGCGGGCUAGAGUUCGGUAGGGGAGACUGGAAUUCCUGGUGUAGCGGUGAAAUGCGCAGAUAUCAGGAGGAACACCGGUGGCGAAGGCGGGUCUCUGGGCCGAUACUGACGCUGAGGAGCGAAAGCGUGGGGAGCGAACAGGAUUAGAUACCCCGGUAGU
rnacentral:rRNA from 1 species